CGCGGCCUAUCAGCUUGUUGGUGGGGUAACGGCCCACCAAGGCAUCGACGGGUAGCUGGUCUGAGAGGAUGAUCAGCCACACUGGGACUGAGACACGGCCCAGACUCCUACGGGAGGCAGCAGUGGGGAAUCUUGCGCAAUGGGCGAAAGCCUGACGCAGCAACGCCGCGUGCGGGAUGAAGGCUCUCGGGUUGUAAACCGCUUUCAGCAGGAACGAAAAUGACGGUACUUGCAGAAGAAGGUGCGGCCAACUAUGUGCCAGCAGCCGCGGUGAUACAUAGGCACCAAGCGUUGUCCGGAUUUAUUGGGCGUAAAGAGCUCGUAGGCGGUUCGGUAAGUCGGGUGUGAAAACUCUGGGCUCAACCCAAAGCCUGCAUCCGAUACUGCUGUGACUAGAGUUCGGUAGGGGAGCGGGGAAUUCCUAGUGUAGCGGUGAAAUGCGCAGAUAUUAGGAGGAACACCGGUGGCGAAGGCGCCGCUCUGGGCCGAUACUGACGCUGAGGAGCGAAAGCGUGGGUAGCAAACAGGAUUAGAUACCCUGGUAGUCCACGCCGUAAACGUUGGGCACUAGGUGUGGGUUCCAACCAACGGAAUCCGCGCCGUCGCUAACGCAUUAAGUGCCCCGCCUGGGGAGUACGG
rnacentral:rRNA from 1 species